UACGUAGGGUGCAAGCGUUUAAUCGGAAUUACUGGGCGUAAAGCGUGCGCAGGCGGUUGUGCAAGACAGAUGUGAAAUCCCCGGGCUUAACCUGGGAAUGGCAUUUGUGACUGCACGGCUAGAGUGUGUCAGAGGGGGGUAGAAUUCCACGUGUGAGCAGUGAAAUGCGUAGAUAUGUGGAGGAAUACCGAUGGCGAAGGCAGCCCCCCUGGGGAUAACACUGACGCUCAUGCACGAAAGCGUGGGGAGCAAACAGG
rnacentral:rRNA from 1 species